rnacentral:rRNA from 1 species
GCAAGUCGAGCGGCAGCGGGUCCUUCGGGAUGCCGGCGAGCGGCGGACGGGUGAGUAAUGCCUAGGAAUCUGCCUGGUAGUGGGGGAUAACUCGGGGAAACUCGAGCUAAUACCGCAUACGUCCUACGGGAGAAAGCGGGGGAUCUUCGGACCUCGCGCUACCAGAUGAGCCUAGGUCGGAUUAGCUAGUUGGUGAGGUAAAGGCUCACCAAGGCUACGAUCCGUAGCUGGUCUGAGAGGAUGAUCAGCCACACUGGAACUGAGACACGGUCCAGACUCCUACGGGAGGCAGCAGUGGGGAAUAUUGGACAAUGGGCGAAAGCCUGAUCCAGCCAUGCCGCGUGUGUGAAGAAGGUCUUCGGAUUGUAAAGCACUUUAAGUUGGGAGGAAGGGCAGUAAGUUAAUACCUUGCUGUUUUGGCGUUACCGACAGAAUAAGCACCGGCUAACUUCGUGCCAGCAGCCGCGGUAAUACGAAGGGUGCAAGCGUUAAUCGGAAUUACUGGGCGUAAAGCGCGCGUAGGUGGUUUGAUAAGUUGGAUGUGAAAGCCCCGGGCUCAACCUGGGAAUUGCAUCCAAAACUGUCUGACUAGAGUAUGGCAGAGGGUGGUGGAAUUUCCUGUGUAGCGGUGAAAUGCGUAGAUAUAGGAAGGAACACCAGUGGCGAAGGCGACCGCCUGGGCUAAUACUGACACUGAGGUGCGAAAGCGUGGGGAGCAAACAGGAUUAGAUACCCUGCUAGUCCACGCCGUAAACGAUGUCGACUAGCCGUUGGGGUCCUUGAGAUCUUAGUGGCGCAGCUAACGCAUUAAGUCGACCGCCUGGGGAGUACGGCCGCAAGGUUACAACUCAAAUGAAUUGACGGAA